GCAAAACUGGGGAGACCAAUUUCAAAUCAAUUAGGAUAUCUUGCCCAACAUGAUUCCGCUAUAGAAGAAAGUAUUUCGCAAUCUGUGGCACAACAGCACCCUCUAGAAGUCCCUCCAUACCCCAGACAUAUACCGGCCUCAUAGAAACUCUUGACAAAUAAAUCAAAGGUCAGAAAGUUCCUAACACCAGGUACAUGAAUAGGGACUAAGGAAACAUAAUACAACUAACUUCACUGAGGUGUGCUGACAGGAUAGGGUAGGUAAAUACAUUCCUAAAAAUAAUCAAACCCCAAAAGCCAAAAAAAAUAAAUUGCAUUGCUAUCAAACCCCAAAUUCCAUUUAUAAAAACUGUAAAUCACACCACCCUUCCAAGCCGAUACCAAAAACCAUAAACUUUUGCCCGAAUUUAUAUGAAAUCCCAUGUUACAUGCUUAGGGCAAAAUCUGUAUGUAACAAAGUAAAUAAUUCUGUUGGUUUUGUAAGUUGUUUCGUCUCUGCUAAAACAAUAGUGUUUAAUAUGAGCAAUUUGGAACGCCCCCGAGGCAAGAAAAUGUUAUCACUAGUAGGAGUCAGGUAAAUUUUUUUAAAUUAUUUUUUUAUUUAUAUUUUCCAAUAAUGAAAUUUUAGGUUGGAGAAAGUUAGUGACAAUGGAGGCGAUUCUCAAUGGAAAGUGUGUAAUGCAAGUUCAGCUGUGAAUUCCGAUAUUAACUAUGAGAUUUAAAAUGAAACUUCAAGUAAUAAUAUUCAUAUUGUUAAGCCUAUUUUUUUAUUUAUCACCUAUGUAUGUAAUCUUUCUGUAGUCUAAUGGAUACAUUAGGGAUAAUAACACCUUAGAGCAGCCCUCGGAGCAGCCGAUGAUCAUAGAUUACUUCGAAAAUGAACAGAUUGAGGUAUCGUCAUCAAAAAAAAAAAUACUGUGUGAAGAACCGGAGCUGGAAAUAUCUAAUACAGUUUUCACAGACCUCACUCACUUAAAUUCUGAAGGUUUAGGUUUUUUAC